AGCUCCAAUAGCGUAUAUUAAAGUUGCUGCGGUUAAAAAGCUCGUAGUUGGAUUUCUGUUGGAAUUGGGCGGUCCGCUCUUGGAGCGUGUAUUAGAAUCGAUCCCGACAUCACUGCGACCAGUGUGAUUAUGCUUGAUUGCAUUUCGCAUUAUUCGCGGCUUUUACUUUGAGGAAAAUAGAGUGCUCACGGCAGGCUUACGUCUUGAAUAUUUUAGCAUGGGAUAAUAGCAUAGGGCUCUUGAUCUAUUUUAUUGGCUUUUGGAAUAGGAGUAAUAUUCAAUAGGGAUAGCUGGGGGCAUUUGUAUUAACGCGUCAGAGGUGGAAUUCUUGGAUUGCGUUACGACACACUACUGCGAAAGCAUUUGUCAAAGGUGUUUUCA
rnacentral:rRNA from 1 species